GAAAACAUGAAUAUUUUACAGGAUCUCCAGGAGGCCACUCCUUAAACACGUCAGUGCUCCAUUUUAAAGCAGAGAGUCGAGGAUUGUCAGUAAACAGAAUGAAACCUACAAUGAACCAGUCAGACACCAGAUGUGUCUUGGCAAUAUUUGUGGCUGCAUCGAGUACUCUAUGUGUAGCAGCAUGCCCAGAGAACCAUUUCCAAGUUCAAGAAAACCUGUGCUGCUUGAACUGCCAAAAUGGUGAGUAUGUUGCUCGCAACUGCUCUGAGGGACCCAGAGGCCACAUUGGUGUGCUAUGUAAUCUAUGCCGCAGAUGUGAUGAAAUUGGAGAGAUAACUGUUUCCAAUUGCACACGGUUUUCAGACACACAGUGUGCCAGCAUACACAGUAAGUAUUGCACUUACCUUGCAAUUUUGUCAGUUUUUCAAACAUUAUAUGACUGUGUUGAGUGGGGUGGGGUCAAGAGCCAUGGGAACAGAGUGAGGCCGGGGGAGUAAUGAGAAUGUGCGACAUCUGC